UACAGAGGGUGCAAGCGUUGUUCGGAAUCACUGGGCGUAAAGCGCGCGUAGGCGGCUUAGUAAGUUGGACGUGAAAUCCCUUGGCUUAACCAAGGAACUGCAUCCAAUACUGCUAGGCUUGAGUGUCGGAGGGGAUGGCGGAAUUCCCGGUGUAGAGGUGAAAUUCGUAGAUAUCGGGAGGAACACCUGUGGCGAAGGCGGCCAUCUGGAAGACAACUGACGCUGAGGCGCGAAAGCGUGGGUAGCAAACAGG
rnacentral:rRNA from 1 species